rnacentral:lncRNA from 1 species
CUUUACCAAAUGAAACAAAAAACAGAGAACUGGAGAAAAGAAAAGGUCUGGAUCCUAGAAAAUUUGUGUAAAAAGUCAGAUUUCCUUUAUACACAGCACACACUGGCUUUACAGGACCUACACAACAUCAGUUCACAUGUGGAAAGAUUGCAAGAUCUCAUGAAUUUCCAGAUAAAAAUUCUUCAAGAAAAGUCUAAAAAGGCAGAAGGAGAAAAUUCAGAUGUGUCAGAGGUUUUAGUAUUAAAAACAGACCAAACAGCUGAUGAAGAACAGAAGACUGACUGGUCAGUGGAACAGCAGUAUCUUUGGCAAGCUCACACCAUCCUGCAGGAGAUAAAAGAAUCUUUACAGAAACGAGAGAGGGAAGUCACUGAGCUCUUGGAAACUGAGAGAAGAUUUAACAAGGCAAUGAAACCUCAAGUGACGGUGCUAUUAUUCUUAAAAUCUCUUAUCAAGAUGGUUCACACCAUAUAUUGUGAUGUCCCUGGGGCACAGCAAUGCAUCCAUCAGCUUAUCAGGAAGAACAAGGAUGAAAGGCCUGAUCUAGAAGAAGUUUUUAAUAAUGCUCAGGCUGACAUUCUGUCCUAUGAAAUAUUUUGUGGAAAUGAACUUAUGGAUGACACAAGGGCACACUUCCCAGCGAAGCUUUUCAGAAACCUUGGGAAAGCAAAGUCUGAUUUAGAAUAUAUUGAAACAGAAGAAAUUGUGUUUGAUUGUAUCCAGACAGGAGAAAUCCCCAGCUGGAUUAAAAGGGAUUGUCUGUAUGUAGCCUGGUCAGGUUUACUAGGCAAUGAAGAAACACUCAGAGAGAUACCAACACUGAAACAAGCUCCCAGUUUUAGAAAGAAGCACUGGAGAGAAAGCUUGAAGCACAAAAGCACUUUCUUCAGUAUCUUUUGAAUGGACAAAAAAUUGGAAGCAUUCAAUACCUGUGAUUCACUAAAUAUCAGAAAACUUAUGCAGGCAUUUAAAUGUUUUGAAAAUUUUCUGCUGUUUAAUAAACAUUUUUAAGAAAUCUUCUAAAAGAAAGAA